rnacentral:rRNA from 1 species
ACAGAGGUCCCAAGCGUUGUUCGGAUUCACUGGGCGUAAAGGGUGCGUAGGUGGCGAAGUAAGUCGGAUGUGAAAUCUCCGAGCUCAACUCGGAAACUGCAUUGGAAACUACUUUGCUUGAGGGUUGGAGGGGGGACUGGAAUACUUGGUGUAUCAGUGAAAUGCGUAGAUAUCAAGUGGAACACCAGAGGCGAAGGCAAGUCCCUGGACAACUCCCGACUCUUAUGCACGAACGCUAGGGGAGCAAACAG